GCUCCAAUACUAAGAUACAAUAUAUAUCGUAAAAUAUAAUAGGUAGUUUUUAAAGUAGACUUAUUAUAUAUUCAUGACCAGUUGAACAGUGUAAAUAGUCUUAUCAGCGAAGAAGAAGCUUUGCUAUUCGUAGAUCUGCUGGGAGCCACGUUAGUAGUUAUUAUACAUGCGGGUUACGAGUACAGUUAUAUAUUUGCGUUCGGUCUCAACUAAAGCGCGGUCUUUUCUCACACAAAAUUAUUGUUGUUAACUGAAAGAUAUAAUUUAAGAUAAUAACAAUUUUAUUUCUUAAAUAUUAUUCUACUGACAAUGAAAUCUAACGAGAAAAUAAAUAAAAUAAUAUGUAAUAAGUGAAAUUGGGUCGGUAAUUUAUAUUUUAAUCACCGAAAUUUAUUUUUGUUGCAUUGGCCAAUCAGAGCAAAAAAUGAAAAGGUCAUUAAAAUUUUGUUUCAUAAGUUUAAGUAGUAAUAAUAAUUCGCAAUCGCUUGCGUAAAAAUCUAGACCACGUGCUCGAAAAUAUUAAUGAGGUGGCCAGCGGCUCUCAAACAGAAGCGAAGAUGGAGCGUAAAGGCCUUUAAACCCGUGGCCCAUGACAUAAGACCCCUUACAAUUCACAACAUAGCCAAAGACCCCAGGAUAUAACAUCAAGGUUUUAAAUAUUAUUAUAUUCUGCGCUAUAUACUUCAAAAACGUCGACCCCUUCCACUCUCCGGUGCUGAGUAUUAUAACGAAACCGUCUCCCAGAGUUUCCCUCUCGACCGCAUGCACUGUCACUUUCAAACCGACGACUCAACAUUGAACAACGAUUGUUCACUCGAUUACCGCCUCCUUAAUACUAAUCAUCGCUAAUUAAAUCCUCAAACAAAUUUUUCGUUCGUUAAUAAGCUAUUUGUUUGCCAAUUUUAUUUUUCAAAGUGCUGUGUUGAUUUUUUUAGUGCGAAUUUGCUUUUUUAGUUUGUACCGCUGGAACUUCAAAAACAUGUGAACUAUUUUGCGUCACCAGACAAUUUGAACUUGUUAUUUUGUGCCGGAAGGUAGACGUCUUGUUUAAAUCACCAGGAAACACGCACGGAUAAACCUUUAACACUCAUGGGUCACCAUACAAUUGGAAAGUUAGAAUGGAUUCAUUGGAAACCUUAAAAAAAAAAUCAAUGACAUGUGGAGGCCAAAAAUGUUACACAGCUUGAAUAAAAACUGAGAAAAUGAUUUAGGAGCUAAUGAUUAAGUGGAAUGAUUUACCAUCGAUAAAAAUCAUGCUUGUUUGAUUUAUAUGAAAAGUUUAUUGUUAAAAUAAUGAAGCUGACUGUACGGAAAAUUCAAAUGUGAUUUAUUUUAAAAUUCAAUGUGAUAAAAAUUGUGAUAAUUACGAAAUUUGAGUUUUAAAAAAAAAUUUUUAUUUUAUUUUUUUAUUAAGAGGCAGUAUGAUAUAAUAUUUAUUGUAUAAUAUGGAUCCAGAAGUCUUAUGCACAUAACGUAUUCCGAUCGCGGGGAUUAAGUAAUCGUUACCACGAGAAAGUUGUUUCUCUAGUCUUUGAGUUGCGAUUUCAAGGCACUACAGGCACGGUAUUUAUAUAUUUUUCACUUGAAAAAACAAACAAAAAAAUUUUAGUGAGAAAAUAAUUACUCUGUUUUUAAUAAAUAAUGCUGGACUAUCUGACGAACUUUAUGUCGACUUUGUUGCUGGAGGGAGACAAGACGAUCGAUCGAUUCAACAUGGCGACAAUAAUGAUCCUGUUUUUGUUGAUCACAAUAGAAGUUGUUGUUGUUAAAGUGGUGGUAUUU